ACUCAAAUGAAUAGACGGGGGCCCGCACAAGCGGUGGAGCAUGUGGUUCAAUUCGACGCAACGCGAAGAACCUUACCCAGGCUUGAACAGCGAGUCACAUCCGGCGAAAGCCGGCUCCCGCAAGGGGACUCGUAGAGGUGCUGCAUGGCUGUCGUCAGCUCGUGUCGUGAGAUGUUGGGUUAAGUCCCGCAACGAGCGCAACCCUUGUCCUCUGUUGCCAUCAGGUUACGCUGGGCACUCUGAGGAGACUGCCGGUGAUAAACCGGAGGAAGGUGGGGAUGACGUCAAGUCAGCAUGGCCUUUAUGUCUGGGGCUACACACGUGCUACAAUGGCCGGUACAAACCGUCGCGAUACCGCAAGGUGGAGCUAAUCGGAGAAAGCCGGUCUCAGUUCGGAUUGCAGGCUGCAACUCGCCUGCAUGAAGUUGGAAUCGCUAGUAAUCGCGGAUCAGCACGCCGCGGUGAAUACGUUCCCGGGCCUUGCACACACCGCCCGU
rnacentral:rRNA from 1 species